rnacentral:misc_RNA from 1 species
UCGUAAUUCUGUUCUUUGGUAAAUGGCCCGAUACCACCUGGUUUCUCUUGCAACAGACGUUCUAAUGCUGGGGACGUUGAGUUAUCCGAUUCCACGGGAACGUUGCAUUCGCCUGCGAAGAGAGGAAGUAGGACGGGUUUCCCAGAUUCUAAGCUCAGACUCUUUUUGCAGACGGAGAGAGUCUUUCCAAAGCUGUCGAUAAUGGCUACUUUGUCGAUGCUCCAGGACACCAAACCCGAAGAGAUCCAGCCGCUGUACGCCGUGUACUUGAUCUGUAACAUUUGCAACAGAAUAAAUAAGGGUGCGGUACAACAAUUUUCUGAAGAAUCGAACCAACCAGAAGCUCUUCGUCCUUGCGCGUCAUCGCAAACGUAUCGUUGAAAGAUCCUUCUCCGACCAGAGUUACCUGCAGUUUCCCGUAACUCCUAGCGGGUCUUUCGCUGCGACUAUUAUACACUUUCACCUGGUACUGGUGAGCACAGAAAGGUUCUUCGUCUCUCGUUACCAGGUAGAGUUGUCCUCUGGCAGGUGAUUCAUCGCUAUAGUAACCCAUGUCGCCGCAAGGUCCGCCCAUGCUGUUCGCACCGCAAGGAAAACACUCGCCACGAAGAAGACCGUCGUAUCCAUUGUCGCAUGGAAACGCUGGAAAUCGGCACUUUGGGCUUACAGAGUCAGUGAACAGCUUGUAGGCCCUUCGAUGGUUACACAGGGAUCUACCCUCGACAGCGCUUGCUGCAACGUGAACAUUU